rnacentral:misc_RNA from 1 species
AAGUCGUAACAAGGUUUCCGUAGGUGAACCUGCGGAAGGAUCAUUACCGAACAACCAAAUCCUCUGUGCCUCCUUGUAGCAAAGCGGGCUUUGGGGUUCCAAGGCAUAUGUUGCCUUGGUUUCUCCAGCCCGCUACUACGUCCUUCUAUUUUACCAAACAAACCAGCCUGUCGCAUGUUGAUGGGCAUCCCUUUGUCGGGCUUGCCCUUUAAACAUAUCAAACAUAACUUUCAACAACGGAUCUCUUGGCUCUC